GGCCGCCUAUUCUCUACCUCCGCCUCCUACUUCUGCUUCGCUCUAUUGAAGGCUUAAAGCAUCAGUGCUAUUGUAUAUAUCUGGAGGAUGCUUUGAUAGCAGGUGUCUCUAUUAUGCAGAAGCUUUUGAUCUGUUUUUAAUCUUCUGUUUUUUUUAUAAAAAAAAAUCUUCCCUUUGUUGGUUGCAAAUUUGAGAGGAUUUUGCGGGUUUUGCCACCACUAUUCGUUUAUCUUUGGCACGUACCAUAAUAAAGCUUCGAUCUUUUUCUUCAUCAUUGGGAGCUUUGUUGAAGAUUAUGGAGAUGGGUUUUGCUGGCCCCAAAUCGCUACUUUUAGCAUUUUAAUAGCACAAUCAAUUUGAUCUUUUCCGAGGUCUUCGCUAAUAGCUUGGAUUAAAUAGUAGUAAUAGUUAUUGCGCUCAUGGAGCGGAAGGACAUUUUGCACGGAGCCGACCCCGGGCUUGUCCGAGGAAUCCGUUGAGGAAGGAAGCCCCAAUGCCCGUGCCACAUCGAUGCCGUUCUGUGUUGCAGUUCACGACUUCUCCAUUGACUGAUCUGUGUCAAAGUAAUGGCUAAAUUUCUAAUCCAUCAUCGAUUUCUUAUGUUAUUGUAUUGUGCUUCUCUUCUUAUGCCUCACCUCACCUUUGGCUUUUUGAGAUUUCGAUACUCAAGAGAGUCUAGUCAUGGAGGCAGAGAUCAAAAUCGGUGGGGUUAACGUGGAGAGUGAAUUUCUUUGUUGGAAAGUGCAGCGAAGGACUGAAACCUGAGUUUAAAAGUUCUUCCAACCAACUUCUGAUUGAUAGAUGUGGAGAGAUACUGUUUUAUGUACAUCUGCGGGUCACCUCUGAUUUUCAUUUAAAUGCAGCUAGAAAUUGUCAGAACUCAAAAUAGGUGCAACAAUAUUCCUGGUUCCGGAGUGUCUCUCAUGUACCAAAUAAGACCAAUCUUUGUAUGUACAACUAUCUUGUAAUAGCCCCUCGGGCAUUAAAGAUAUACUAAAGUGGCGAUGGACCGCCAAUCAAAAUUUUACUGUGAAAUCCCUUUACGACUUCGUCACUGAUGCUGGUCAGAUUGAUCCACUGUAUGAUCAUCUCUGGGGGUUAAAACUCCCGCUCAAGCAAAAGAUUUUCAUUUGGAUUCUACUGCGCAAGAGACUACUUACAGCGGACAGAUUGAUUCGUCGGGGGAGUUCGGUGGACAUGCAUUGUAUGUUGUGUGGGUCAUUCCCAGAAACCUGCGACCACCUAUUCGGCGAAUGUAUCUUUGUUAAAUAUCUUCGUCUUGAAAUGGGAGUUACUGGGGCGGCCGUUUUCGACGCGGGGGAUGUUCGGCGGAUAUGGAUUCAGGUCUCUGAUAACAUAAACACCCGAGCGAGAUCGAACAGUCUAACACAGAUAGCGGCAAUUUGGUGGGUCAUUUGGACGGAGCGAAACAGGAUCAUCUUUGGGGAGGGGUCUCCCGACGCCUCCCGGGCUCUGGAACGAGUUGGCGCUCUCAUCAAAGACUGGACUGACGCUAUGGGUAUCUAAGCUAUAUCUUUACUCACUUUACUCUCUUUUACUACGCCUGUUAUCCUUGUUUUUCUCGUU